rnacentral:rRNA from 1 species
UACGUAGGUGACAAGCGUUGUCCGGAUUUACUGGGCGUAAAGAGCGCGCAGGCGGUCGAUCAAGUCGCGUGUGAAAGCCCCCCGGCUCAACUGGGGGAGGGUCACGCGAUACUGAUCGACUGGAAGGCAGGAGAGGGUAGUGGAAUUCCCGGUGUAGUGGUGAAAUGCGUAGAGUAUCGGGAGGAACACCAGUGGCGAAGGCGACUACCUGCCUGGU